rnacentral:lncRNA from 1 species
UUUUUGUUCAGGCCAAAAUAAAUGCCAAGACUUUUCACCGUAUCUUUCCAAUUGAUACUUUCAAAUUUGUCUUUGCAGUGUUUUAGUUUACCUAACCAUAUACCUUCUGUUUUAUUUCUAUUAAGUUUAAGCCCUGAAAAAGAUCCAAAAGUUUCUAUUAAAUUAAGUGCAUUUUUUAUUUCAUUUUUAGAUCUUAGAAAGAGAGUUGUAUCAUCUGCUAGCUGUGAGAUUUUUAGGCUGUGAGUAUUUUUAUCAAUUUUUAUUUGUAUCCCUUUCAGAUCAUUAUUAUCCCUUAUCCUACAAGCCAGUAUUUCAACUGAUAAAACAAACAAUAACGCGCUUAAAGGGCAUCCUUGUCGAAUUCCCCCGUUGAAUCCCGAAGGUUUCAGAAAUCCACCCGUUAUUUAAAAUACAUCCUUUUAUAUCAUGGUAAAGUGUUUUGACCCACUUUUUGAAAAGACUUAUUAAAUCCAAAUUUUUUUAAUGAUUCCAGCAUAAAGUCCCAUUCGAGUGAAUCGAACGCUUUAGAAAAGUCAAUAAAUAGUAUAGCUCCAUCAAUAUUAAAGUUUUCAGCAUAAUCUAUAAUAUCUUGAAUUUGGCGUACGUUAAAUCCUAUAUAUCGAUUUUUAACAUAACCAUUUUGAUCUCUAUGUAUAAUUAGGGGUAAGAUUUUUUUUAGUCUUUGUGCUAAAGUAUAUGUAAUAAGUUUUACAUCAGUAUUCAAUAAAGUAAUUGGACGGUAAUUAUCUAAGGACAAAGGGUCAUUUUUUUUUAAAAAUCAAUGAUAUUAUCCCAAUCUUUUGGGUCUCAGAUAAAGUUUCAUUAUCAUAACAUGUAUUAGAAACAUUCAAUACAAUAUGUUUUAAAUUUGGCCAAAAUUGUCGAUAAAACUCAACUGUUAAGCCCAUCUUUGCCUGGAGUCUUAUUUAGUUUCAUAUUAUAAAAGAAGAUGUUAGCUCUUCUAAAGUUAAUUUUACCAUCCACUUGUUUGCUUUCACAAGGAGUUAAAGAAUGAUCAAUGGGGGUAUUUUCUAUGUAUGUCUUUAAAAUUUCAGUUUCGGGACAUGUACUUUUGUACAGAGAUUUUAUAAUACUCUUAACUUACAUCUAAAAUUUCACUUUGAUCAACAGUAACCUCACCGGUUUUGGUCAUUAAUUUAUUAAUAGAUUUUUUAGCCUGUCUAUUUUUUUCUAGAGAUAAAAGUACUUAGUAUUUUUUUCCCCUUCCCUCUAUCCCAUUUUAUUCUUGAUCUAACUUGGGCUCCUUUGGCUUUUAAAAGAGUAUAUCUCUUCUAAAUCUUUUCUAAAUUUUUUUAUUUGAUUAAAAAGUUCAUUAUUUUUCCUAUCAGGUAAUUUGUCUAAUCUUUCAUUUAAAAGAUUUAGUUUGUUUUCCAUUAUUAAAAUAUUAUUUUUCCUUUCUCUGGCUUUUGAUUUACAGUAUUGGAUAGUAGACUCUCUUAUGUCAGUUUUUAGCAGGUCCCACUGAUUUAGGACAUUUGUAAGAUUAAAAUUUUGCUCAUUACUUUUCAAAUUAACUUAUUUAUUAGUUUUAUACUGAGUAUCAGUCAAUAUACUGUUAUUCAUUUUAAAAUAUCCUUUACCCCGAUUAUUUGCAUAAAUGUCUAAUUUAAGCGAAAUAGCCUGGUGGUCUGUGAAUGAAAUUUGUGCAGGCCUGAUAUCAGCAGAUACAGUACUUAGGCGUGCUUGUGUGCAUAUUACAAAGAAGUCUAUUCUACUAGCUUCAUUUGUAGAAUUUUUUCUUUUCCAUGUGAAUUGUUUUUUAUCUUUAUUUAAUUGUCUCCAAAUGUCUAUCAAUUUAUGUGUUUUAAUUAAUUGUUUUAAACCAUUGACUGGCUUUUUUAACUUUUUAUGUAAUUUAUUGUUCUUUGUAUCUAAGCUGAGAGUAAAUCAUUCAUAUCUCCCCCUACUAUUAGAGCACCAAGAGUGUGUUCUUCAAUUAAUUUACUUACUUUUUUAUAAAAUUGGUUUCUUGCAUGAACUUCAUUAGGUGCAUACAAGUUUACUAAGGUAAAAAUCUUAUCUUGAAUUUCUAUAUUAAUUAUAAUAAUUCUCCCUUCUUUAUCACAAAAUUCAUUAAUUAAUUUAAAGUCUAGUGAUUUAUUAAUAAAGUAAGAAACUCCCCUUGAAUUUGUUGUGCCUAGGCUGUGAAGAUGUUUGCCAUGGAAUUCAUUGUUAAUUUGCUUUAUCAAAUCUUUUGACAAGUGAGUUUCUUGUGCCAUUAAAAUGUCGCAUUUCUGCUGUUGAAACCAAGAGAAUAAUCUAAAGCGCUUUUCCUUUCUCGCUAAACCUUGACAAUUAAGUGAGCAAAUGUGGAAGUUUUUUGUUUUCAUUAUAGUAUUAAAGAAGUUUAAUUGUUGAUCUCUUAAACGAUUUAUUUAAAUCUAGCAAAAUGUAUAAACCUGUUCUAUGUAUCGUGACCAGAUAAACAUGUAGUUAUUUUUAGACCUAUAAAUAGCACAGGUAAAGUUAAUUUCUAUUUUUAGUUUCAUUACUGACUUUCUGAAAACGUCUUGUAUUUUGUAAACAUUAGCAUUGUCAUUUACUGUAAUUUUGAUAGCGCGGUGGUUCUUUGUAUUUACAACUUUUUAUAUUUUUUUACAGAUAUGGAAUUAAUCGUGUCACAGAAUGUUGUUAGCCAAAUGACUUUACUAGAAGUGCUUAAUUCUGGAAAUAUGUGCACAACAAAGAAGUGUGUGAUAUCUAAGUUCAAGAACAGUUGGAUAUUUUUGGCUGUUUCGUUAAUGUUUAUAAAAAAUAACUGUGUAGAAAUAUGUUCGUAUCCUGAAGAAAAGAACAUCGGAAGAUUGUCAUUUACCGAAACUGUACUUUUAUACUUCAAGACUGGCUGUUUUUUACUUGAUUCCAAGAAUAUAUUAUGACAAAGGAUUAAAGUGUGUCUAUGAAUACUGCAUUUCGUUAAUUUAGUGCUCCAACCAAUUAAGCAAUUUUCAUUUGUUUUAGAUGUGCAUGGAACAAUAUUUUUUAUCCAAGAAGAUUUACCACCUUUAUAUUCAUAGUCUAUACAUUUUUCAUUUACAAAUAAUUUCAUAUAUGCUGUAUUUACUACAUUUUUAAAUAAACAACUAUUCUGAUAUUUCUCUUUUGAAUGUAUGCUAUCUACAAUAUAGACAUCACAUUCACAAAUUACAAUUU